AUUUGUAGAGGAUGCUUUUGGUGCGGUGCCUUCCGAGUUCCCUGGAACGGGACGCCUUAGAGGGUGAGAGCCCCGUACGGUUGGACGCCUAGCCUUUGUAAAGCUCCUUCGAC
rnacentral:rRNA from 1 species